CAAAUUCCAAACACAAAUAUUGUCAUAUAGAGCAUUCAUUUGCAGAAAAAUGAGAAAUGGCUGAAAUAACAAAAAUAUGCAAAGGUUUCAAUAAAAACAAGUUCAUUUUAAUUAAGUUUUAAGAGAUCAGAAGUCAAUAUGUGGUGAAAUAACCCUGGUGUUUAAUUACAGUAUUCAUGUAUCUUGGCAUGUUCUUCUCCACCAGUCUUACACACUGCUUUUAGAAAACUUUAUGCCAUUUCUGGUGCCAAGCAUUUAAGCAGUUCAGUUUGGUUUCAUGGCUGUGAUUAUCAUCUAUCUCUAAUCUCUUGAUUAUAUUCCAGAGGUUUUCAAUUUGGUCAAAACAUUUUUAUAGAAAGAUAGAGAGAAAGAGAGAGAGAGAAAACACUGUUUUCCACUGGCCCACAUUCACCUAUUCUAGACAGUAAAACUAUCCUGCAGUGGGAGGAACCAUGUAAACAAACACCUACAAUGAAAUAACUGGCAACUUGGGGAGUCCUUUGGAGUGAAGAUGAAAUUGUCGGCAGCUCUGUCUCGAGCGUGUAUUAAAUUUGGGUCAGCACUUUAUAAAAUGAAAAGGAUGCCUCAGUCUGUCUCCCCCUGAGGGAUCAAAUUGCAUCUUCCAUUCCCUGUGACAGAAUCGUAGGAGUUAUGAUAACAGGAUGGCAGGGCCGAAUCAUUGUAGCCCCAGGGGUUCCAGACAGAGGAGCGAGGCCAGAGCAGAGUGAGGGAGAGAAGAGCAGAGGUCACAGGAUUAGGAUAGUCCGAUUGGGUGUGGAAAGCAGGAAACCGACUGCUUUACUUGGCAGAAAGUCUGUGCAGAUUGUUGUCAUCUGUUCAGAUCAGUGCUUAUAAAGAGCAAGUCAGCUCACACUGUGAGCACCAGAGGGUCAACAACAUUCACCUCAACAUUCCCAGCAUUCUUACAUAAACGUGGAGAUCUGUUCAAGCGCAGUAGCCAGAAAAAGGAAAACAUUUUAAAGAGAUGUUUUAUUGAGCCAUUAGAUUUAUUAGAUGCAUUAUUGAGCCAAAUGCUUGUCAGAUUUUACACAAUAAUUUGAUCUUAGGUUUUGAGUGUAUUGAUGUUUUUCACUGGUUGAAAUCUGACUGAAAGAUCUCGUAACACUUAGUAUGGCUUUUGUUUACAAAUAAAGUGAACAAUGUUGA
rnacentral:lncRNA from 1 species